rnacentral:rRNA from 1 species
UACGGGGGGAGCAAGCGUUGUUCGGAUUUACUGGGCGUAAAGGGCGCGUAGGCGGCCAGCACAAGUCAGUUGUGAAAUCUCCGAGCUUAACUCGGAAAGGUCAACUGAUACUGUGCGGCUAGAGUGCGGAAGGGGCAACUGGAAUUCUUGGUGUAGCGGCGAAAUGCGUAGAUAUCAAGAGGAACACCUGCGGCGAAGGCGGGUUGCUGGGCCGACACUGACGCUGAUGCGCGAAAGCUAGGGGAGCGAACGGG